GAUGAACGCUAGCUACAGGCUUAACACAUGCAAGUCGAGGGUCUUUUUAGCUUGCUUUAAAAGACGACCGGCGCACGGGUGAGUAACGCGUAUCCAACCUGCCAUUCAUAUUGGGAUAGCCUUUCGAAAGAGAGAUUAAUACCCGAUGGUCUCGGUUUAAGGCAUCUUAGACUGAGUAAAGAUUUAUCGGCGAUGGAUGAGGAUGCGUCUGAUUAGGUAGAUGGCGGGGUAACGGCCCACCAUGCCUACGAUCAGUAGGGGUUCUGAGAGGAAGGUCCCCCACAUUGGAACUGAGACACGGUCCAAACUCCUACGGGAGGCAGCAGUGAGGAAUAUUGGUCAAUGGACGAGAGUCUGAACCAGCCAAGUAGCGUGAAGGAUGACUGCCCUAUGGGUUGUAAACUUCUUUUGUUUGGGAAUAAAGUGAGGGACGUGUCCCUUUUGUAUGUACCAUUCGAAUAAGCAUCGGCUAAUUCCGUG
rnacentral:rRNA from 1 species